GAUGAACGCUGGCGGCGUGCUUAACACAUGCAAGUCGAACGAUGAAGCCCAGCUUGCUGGGUGGAUUAGUGGCGAAAGGGUGAGUAACACGUGAGUAACCUGCCCUUAACUCUGGGAUAAGCCUGGGAAACUGGGUCUAAUACCGGAUAGGAGCGUCCACCGCAUGGUGGGUGUUGGAAAGAUUUAUCGGUUUUGGAUGGACUCGCGGCCUAUCAGCUUGUUGGUGAGGUAAUGGCUCACCAAGGCGUCGACGGGUAGCCGGCCUGAGAGGGUGACCGGCCACACUGGGACUGAGACACGGCCCAGACUCCUACGGGAGGCAGCAGUGGGGAAUAUUGCACAAUGGGCGCAAGCCUGAUGCAGCGACGCCGCGUGAGGGAUGACGGCCUUCGGGUUGUAAACCUCUUUCAGUAGGGAAGAAGCGAAAGUGACGGUACCUGCAGAAGAAGCACCGGCUAACUACGUG
rnacentral:rRNA from 1 species